UACGGGGGGGGUAAGCGUUGUUCGGAAUUACUGGGCGUAAAGGGCUCGUAGGCGGCCAACUAAGUCAGACGUGAAAUCCCUCAGCUUAACUGGGGAACUGCGUCUGAUACUGGAUGGCUUGGAUUUGGGAGAGGAAUGCGGAAUUCCAGGUGUAGCGGUGAAAUGCGUAGAUAUCUGGAGGAACACCGGUGGCGAAGGCGGCGUUCUGGACUGCAACUGACACUGAGGAACGAAAGCCAGGGGAGCAAACGGG
rnacentral:rRNA from 1 species